rnacentral:rRNA from 1 species
UGGUGGAGUGAUUUGUCUGGUUAAUUCCGAUAACGAACGAGACCUUAACCUUUAAAUAGUUGGAUUAACAUUUGUUGAUGACAACUUCUUAGAGGGACUGACUACAUUUAGUGGUCGGAAGUUUGAGGCAAUAACA